rnacentral:rRNA from 1 species
UCGAUUUGGAGUUUGUUGCCUAGAGUGAUGGGCUCCGAAGCUAACGCGAUAAAUCGACCGCCUGGGGAGUACGGCCGCAAGGUUAAAACUCAAAUGAAUUGACGGGGGCCCGUACAAGCGGUGGAGCAUGUGGUUUAAUUCGAUGCAACGCGAAGAACCUUACCUGGUCUUGACAUCCACAGAAUCUUUCAGAGAUGAGAGAGUGCCUUCGGGAACUGUGAGACAGGUGCUGCAUGGCUGUCGUCAGCUCGUGUUGUGAAAUGUUGGGUUAAGUCCCGCAACGAGCGCAACCCUUAUCCUUUGUUGCCAGCGAUUAGGUCGGGAACUCAAAGGAGACUGCCGUUGAUAAAACGGAGGAAGGUGGGGACGACGUCAAGUCAUCAUGGCCCUUACGACCAGGGCUACACACGUGCUACAAUGGCGUAUACAAAGGGAAGCGAAGGUGCGAGCUGGAGCGGACCUCCUAAAGUACGUCUAAGUCCGGAUUGGAGUCUGCAACUCGACUCCAUGAAGUCGGAAUCGCUAGUAAUCGUGAAUCAGAAUGUCACGGUGAAUACGUUCCCGGGUCU